UAGUGCUCACUUCCUUCUGAGAUGGCUGUGAAACAUAGACACUCUGCAGACUCCAUAUUAAAUGGUUGGACCCACUCCUCUUUCACUGCCUUCUUUCAAAUUGAAACAUCAAGUGACUGGACAGAAUCCCCGACACAGAGAUUCUUACAAAAUAACAUUCUGAGAAUAGAAACUUUACUUAACAAACUGAGAUGGAUCAUCAUCCCAAGAUAGGGGACGCGUUAUCAGAUUGGACUUUGAUAUAAAAUCUGCUUCUGAAAUAAAGAGUGCCAGAGAUCUUGAAGCAAUAUUGUUUGUGAAGUGCUGAUUUGUUUGUUGAAGAUGUUGGCGAAUAUAACAGGAGUCAAAUACAAUUAGAUGGAUCCCAAGAUCAGGAGCCUAGAUCGACAUUACCCUUUAGGUUACGAAAUACGUGAUUCUGUCGGCCUCAUAAUCAUGAGGUAGUGAAUUCGUUUCCCUGACCGGACUGUGUUGUAUUCUUGAGCAAGACACUUUAUUUCACUUCAGUUAACUCAGUUGUAAAAAUGAGUUGUGACGUCACUGGUGCCAAGCUGCAUUGGCCCCUUUGCCUUUCCCUUGGAUAACAUUGGUGGCGUGUAGAGGGGAAGGCUAGUAAGCAUGGGCGACUGCGGGUCUUACAUAAACAACCUUGCCCGGACUUGUGCCUCGGAGGGGAAUUUUCUAGGUGUAAUCCCAUGGUCAUUCGUGACCGAAAGGGGUCCUUUUUUUCUUUUUAGAUGAUUUAAUAAUUAUAUAUGUAACAUAUAUGUAUUAGAUACAUAAAUAAUACAAACUACAUUGAAAUAUAAAUCCAAAACCGAAGAAAACACAGACAUGAGCGGAGAAAGGAACAAAAGACGAAAAAAAGAAAGAACAAGAAAGAAGAAAAGCAAUUCAACACUAAGUGCUUCAGUUGGUCGUACACCACAAUGUUCAAUGGAACCUACUGAAGCAAACAACACAGGUGACUAGUGAUAUAUAAAACGGUAUACCUCUUUUCCUAGCUGGUCUGCAUACUAAUAAAUACAAGCAGUUCCAAGCAGACCAGAGGGAAAGCGGUCCCGCUUGGCAAUCAGCAGCCAUGGUGUUUUACCAUAAAACUUCCUUCUUCUGUCUCUCACUUGUUCACUAGCGCCGUUCUAACGAACAUCAUUCUGUCUACUCUUUCCUGCUGCUAGAAUGACGAAAAUAUGUCAAUUUAAGACCAUACACUCUCAAUCAAAAAAAAAAAAAAAAAUACUGCUCACUUUUACCACGUAUGCUUUUCGACUGAUUUAUUCUACACACACCUACCCGUCGUGGUUAGGAAACGAUUAUAUGUAAUGGAGAAAUAAAUAUGUUAUCUACAA